AGAGUUUGAUCAUGGCUCAGAUUGAACGCUGGCGGCAGGCCUAACACAUGCAAGUCGAGCGGUAGAGAGAAGCUUGCUUCUCUUGAGAGCGGCGGACGGGUGAGUAAUGCCUAGGAAUCUGCCUGGUAGUGGGGGAUAACGCUCGGAAACGGACGCUAAUACCGCAUACGUCCUACGGGAGAAAGCAGGGGACCUUCGGGCCUUGCGCUAUCAGAUGAGCCUAGGUCGGAUUAGCUAGUUGGUGAGGUAAUGGCUCACCAAGGCGACGAUCCGUAACUGGUCUGAGAGGAUGAUCAGUCACACUGGAACUGAGACACGGUCCAGACUCCUACGGGAGGCAGCAGUGGGGAAUAUUGGACAAUGGGCGAAAGCCUGAUCCAGCCAUGCCGCGUGUGUGAAGAAGGUCUUCGGAUUGUAAAGCACUUUAAGUUGGGAGGAAGGGCAUUAACCUAAUACGUUAGUGUUUUGACGUUACCGACAGAAUAAGCACCGGCUAACUCUGUGCCAGCAGCCGCGGUAAUACAGAGGGUGCAAGCGUUAAUCGGAAUUACUGGGCGUAAAGCGCGCGUAGGUGGUUCGUUAAGUUGGAUGUGAAAUCCCCGGGCUCAACCUGGGAACUGCAUUCAAAACUGACGAGCUGGAGUAUGGUAGAGGGUGGUGGAAUUUCCCGUGUAGCGGUGAAAUGCGUAGAUAUAGGAAGGAACACCAGUGGCGAAGGCGACCACCUGGACUGAUACUGACACCGAGGUGCGAAAGCGUGGGGAGCAAACAGGAUUAGAUACCCUGGUAGUCCACGCCGUAAACGAUGUCAACUAGCCGUUGGGAGCCUUGAGCUCUUAGUGGCGCAGCUAACGCAUUAAGCUGACCGCCUGGGGAGUACGGCCGCAAGGUUAAAACUCAAAUGAAUUGACGGGGGCCCGCACAAGCGGCGGAGCAUGUGGUUUAAUUCGAAGCAACGCGAAGAACCUUACCAGGCCUUGACAUCCAAUGAACUUUCCAGAGAUGGAUUGGUGCCUUCGGGAACAUUGAGACAGGUGCUGCAUGGCUGUCGUCAGCUCGUGUCGUGAGAUGUUGGGUUAAGUCCCGUAACGAGCGCAACCCUUGUCCUUAGUUACCAGCACGUAAUGGUGGGCACUCUAAGGAGACUGCCGGUGACAAACCGGAGGAAGGUGGGGAUGACGUCAAGUCAUCAUGGCCCUUACGGCCUGGGCUACACACGUGCUACAAUGGUCGGUACAGAGGGUUGCCAAGCCGCGAGGUGGAGCUAAUCCCACAAAACCGAUCGUAGUCCGGAUCGCAGUCUGCAACUCGACUGCGUGAAGUCGGAAUCGCUAGUAAUCGCGAAUCAGAAUGUCGCGGUGAAUACGUUCCCGGGCCUUGUACACACCGCCCGUCACACCAUGGGAGUGGGUUGCACCAGAAGUAGCUAGUCUAACCUUCGGGAGGACGGUUACCACGGUGUGAUUCAUGACUGGGGUGAAGUCGUAACAAGGUA
rnacentral:rRNA from 1 species